AAAGCCUGAUCCAGCCAUGCCGCGUGUGUGAAGAAGGUCUUCGGAUUGUAAAGCACUUUAAGUUGGGAGGAAGGGCAGUAAGUUAAUACCUUGCUGUUUUGACGUUACCAACAGAAUAAGCACCGGCUAACUUCGUGCCAGCAGCCGCGGUAAUACGAAGGGGGCUAGCGUUGUUCGGAAUUACUGGGCGUAAAGCGCACGUAGGCGGAUCGAUCAGUUAGGGGUGAAAUCCCGGGGCUCAACCCCGGAACUGCCUCUAAUACUGUCGAUCUCGAGUUCGAGAGAGGUGAGUGGAAUUCCGAGUGUAGAGGUGAAAUUCGUAGAUAUUCGGAGGAACACCAGUGGCGAAGGCGGCUCACUGGCUCGAUACUGACGCUGAGGUGCGAAAGCGUGGGGAGCAAACA
rnacentral:rRNA from 1 species